GACGAACGCUGGCGGCGUGCUUAACACAUGCAAGUCGAACGGUGAAGCGCCUUCCUUUUUGGUUGGUGUGGAUGAGUGGCGAACGGGUGAGUAACACGUGAGUAACCUGCCUCCUUCUUCUGGAUAACCGCAUGAAAGUGUGGCUAAUACGGGAUAUGCCGGGUCUGUCGCAUGAUGGGUCUGGGGAAGAUAUUGCUUCGGUGGGGGCUGGGCUCGCGGCCUAUCAGCUUGUUGGUGGGGUGAUGGCCUACCAAGGCGAUGACGCGUGGCCGGCAUGAGAGGGUGGACGGUCACACAGGGACUGAGAGGCGGCGCAGACUCCGACGGGAGGCAGCGGUGAGGAAUAUUGCACAAUGGGAGCAAGCCUGAUGCAGCGACGCGGCGGGAGGGAUGGAGUCCGUCGGGUUGUGAACCUCUUUCGCGAGUGAAGCAGGCCUGCCUCGUUUGUGGGUGGGUUGACGGUAGCUGAAUAAGAAGCGCCGGCUAACUACGUG
rnacentral:rRNA from 1 species